rnacentral:rRNA from 1 species
AAGAGGUCCAGCCUGCCCAGUGACACUGUUCAACGGCCGCGGUAUUCUAACCGUGCGAAGGUAGCGUAAUCACUUGUUCUUUAAAUGAGGACUAGUAUGAAAGGCACCACGAGGGUUACACUGUCUCCUCUUUCUAAUCAGUGAAACUAAUCUCCCCGUGAAGAAGCGAGGAUUUACCUAUAAGACGAGAAGACCCUAUGGAGCUUUAAAUAAUAAUAACAAUUGCUACUACACCUCUUAUUUCAGAAAUUUAUUAAUAACUUAGCAUCAUGAUUAUUAAUUUUAGGUUGGGGUGACCACGGAGCACAAAACAACCUCCAUGUUGAAACAGAGCAUAAACUCUAAGCAAAAAGCUACAACUUUACACAUCAACAAACUGACAUAAAUUGACCCAAUAUUAUUGACCAACGAACCAAGUUACCCUAGGGAUAACAGCGCAAUCCACUUCGAGAGCUCAUAUCGACAAGUGGGUUUACGACCUCGAUGUUGGAUCAGGGUAUCCCAGUGGUGCAGCCGCUACUAAAGGUUCGUUUGUUCAACGAUUAAAACCCU